rnacentral:lncRNA from 12 species
GUUUAUAUAAAGCAACAUCCAAUCAGAACUUUGUUUUAUUAAGCAUAUUUCAUUGUGUUUUCAUGCAUUCCUGAAGCUCAAACAGUUGAUCACAGCGCCAGCGACGCCAUUCAAGGUCAUGGGUUCGAUUCCCAGGGAAUGCAUUAACUCAUAAAAAUGAACUAUGGAUAAAAGCGCCUGUGAAAUGUAUUAAUGUGAAUGUCAUGGACAGUAGUGAUUCAAAGUGCUUUACACCAGAAUGAAAAAUCAAGUUAAGCUCAUUUAAGAUCAUAGGUUAAUUAAAUACGGAUUAAAUGGUGGGAUAAAAAGGGAAGAAAAUGUUAGAUGUUGCCAAAUAACUCGUGUGUGCGCAGGGGAUAAAAAUCCAUUUGACAUUUUAUCCUCGAGUGAAGAGAUGUCGAUGAACGGCCGUCCCAGAAUUCCUGCUGUAUAAAAACCAUUAACAUCACAUUACGCAAAUGGUAAGAGCCCAAUGCAUGUCGAGGGCUAAAGGCCAGCCGCAGCACAUUUAGCAGUCUGACUUUCCUCUGCCCUGUGAAGGGUGUUUUCAAUUAGAUUCCAGCUGAUUUCAUUCACACCUUCAUUCACCUGCUGGAAAUGUGUCUUUCUGAGGGGCUCCGUGUUCCAGAACUGUGCUUUAAUUAUCAGCGUUCAUCUAGUUCCUGCUCCGGACGUCCUUUAAACGGAUCAGCAAAGUUACUUUAGAGCUGCUGGCUUCGUUGUUAAAGCUACAGGACCAUCUGCAGAGUUUAUCCUGGCAUUUACGAGGCAGCACGAGCGCCGGGCGAGAAACAUACAGCACGCUCCGCCAGCACGUGGAGGAAGACGAGAAACAGAAAAGGACAGCGAAAGAGAGGAAGAUGCACUCCAAAGACUACAUCCACAAAGUGCAAAGGACAACAAGAGAGAGCGGAGGAACCCGAGACAAGAGCUGGAUCUUUAACUGGAUCGUCCCGCAGAAGUAAGUGCGCCCAAAACACCUCGGAGGAAUUGCCACUUAAUUUCCAGAAGUUCAAAUGUAGGAGAAAAAAGUUUACCAGGCCGAUUGGAUGCUGCUUGUGUAAUUCACAUGCAUGUCAAGCAAGACGUUUUUCAGUUUGUUUUGUGUGUUUAUAAAUCCAAGUCAUGAGUUACGUCUCCGUGCUCUUCUGGUUAAAGAGAUUCACUCGCAGGACACUCAUCACAGAUGAUUUCGGGGGA